GGUGGCUUUUAUUAUCGCUCUGACUCCUUGUCAUGGUGGAAUGAAAUUAAUCAUUUUGCUUUAUGACACAUGUUGUCUCCGUGUAUAUGUGCAUUGCCGAACUCGAACCAGUGAGACCUAGGAUGAUUCCAUAUUUUUGAGCCUAGACGGUAAGGGAGCAGAUUCCCGGAUUUGACGCUGGUCUUUGUAAGCAACUUUUAAUAUCGUAAAAAUAAUAUCCGAGUAGUAGGAGAAUUAUGUGGCUGAGGGUUUGCGCUUUGUUCUCAUAUACGCUGACCAUUGUUUCAUUUGAAAAAUAAUGCUUUACGAGGCAUAGACUGGACACAAGAAAAAAACGUGGAGUUUAACCUUAGAUCGAUAUAACUGAAUGCUUCAAAUAAUAAUUGUAGUGUUUAUUGUUCACUUCUCACGAUUUAUAGAUUGAUCACCUUAUAGAUUACGUCUUGUGUCUCGUACAAUGUCCACGGCGUCAACCUUAGUUUUCAACAUAAAGGCGUAGCACUAAGUGCUAGCACGGUAAUCACUAUACACAAACAGGUAGUAGUCUUAACUAUGCAAUUCAUUCAGCAUAUUCGCAUACUAUCUAGCGGUUGCAAAAGACUUGGCUAGAAGGCCGCUAUUACAUCAUACCGUUUAAUGAGGCCAACCUGCCCGCCAGAGCUUAACCUAGGGGCCUUCUCUGGCCUGUACGUAGUCCUAUUCUCACUGACACUAGUUGUAGAGAUGUCCUAUAAAACGCAGGCCAUACAGAGAAACAUCGACAACUUGCCCGGCUCUGUAAUCUGCCUUCAAUGAAUCCUCAGUUCGCUCCGGUCAGUUUAAUAACAACAAGCCCGAUUCAUAACGUUGCAUGCUAAUAUGAUCAGAACGUAUUUGUCGUAACUAGCGUUGUGUACUUAAUGGAAAAUUUCAGUGUAUCAUUUAUUCGCUCCGCCCAUUUGCCAUUCGAGCUACGUGACCCUUGCUAGCAGCAUUCACGGGUUUACUAUACAGUGAAGUCUCUCCAUGAUGUUGCUAGUCUGAUAAGCUAGAAAUGAUGUUGUGACUGCACAACUAUCAAACAUAAAUUAACGUACCGGUCGUACCACUUGAGUAUAUUGAUCUGGUAACGAUUUCUGGGAAACAUUAGAAUCCACUGAAAACUUAGAAAUUUCCUUGUAAUGCAAUCAACUUCUCUAAACUAACGACCAAAUGGUCGCUGGGCAAAUGAGAGAACGCUGUAAGAAAAUAUGAAGUGAAUUAGGACACAGACUAAGCAUAGGUUAUACUUAGCGGCAUAUAUUUAAGUACUACCAGGAGUUUGCCAAAAAAUGCUUCAUUGUAAUCCACUUGCUCAGGCAGUGUAUCUGGGAGGCGCACAUUUGAUGACCUAAUAAUUGCGUCGAUACUAUGUAAGUCUUGGCUGUCUAUUUGUUUGCAUCCCAUGCAUGCAACAUGUGCUUAUAGGAAGCCUCAUGUAAAAUAUUUGUUUAUAUUAUUUGAAGAAUAGUUAGUUCUUCGAUCACCGAUCUCGCUGAUCGUAUCAUUCUGUAUCCACUCGUUUUGCCUCUUUCUCUAGGUCUGCAUACUAGCUGUAUUGCUAUGCGCAAAGUAAACUAUCUGCCGUAGAAGUGAAGCGGCGAAAAGAAAUAAUGCGGGUGAAGUAAAGGCGAAUAGGGCCCUUGGGCACGGUGUCGGGACGCCGCCAGCUGACUUUCUAGACUCGGUCAGCUCCGACUGUUAUUCUUGGGAGAAGUGCUGCGUUAGCUAUAUUUGCUCUUAGCUCUUGUUAUCCUGUAGUCCAAUAUGCGAUAGGCAAUGCAAGACGGGAAAUGGGCUGUGCAGUUCAACGUAAUUUCUGUUAUACGUGGUUUCACACAUAAAAACAAUUCAUAAAAGCAUAUAGAGUAUUCUGUCUACGAGCAAUGAAAUUUCUUUAUCUAAUCAAAUCUAGGAAAUUGUGUAUUAAGCUUAAGUAUCAGUAGAUUGUUAUUGAUUAUUUAUUUAUUGAUUUAUUAGUUACUAUUAAAACUCUGGUUAAUUUCUUCUUCUUCUUCUCCUUUAGAGAUGAAUUUACCAGAAUGAACAUAGGAUCUGACCUACCUUCAUAUACAUAUAUAUAUGAAAUAUAUAUAUAAUAUAUAUGUAUAUUUCAUACUAUAUUGGUUUGAUCAUCAUGUUGAAAACAUACGAAACUAAAAAGCGAUCAGGAAAUGAAAACUAACUAUUUGUUAUAUAUAUAUAUAACCACGGUAUUAUAAAAUACAUGCCCCUGGAGUUUGCUCCCACAAGGCUGUGAAGAGCUGCUGGGUGGUUUGCUGAUCAGUUGUAUGCGGCUAACCGACCGCCGUAGUACUACCUACUGUGGUAUCAACGUUAAAUCACAUAAAAAAUCUGCCUGUGGCGGGCCUCAUCGGUUUUAGAAUGCACUCAUGACGUGUCGCUGUUAACUUCACUUCAGUGAAGCCUAAAAACGACGUCCCGUUGUAGGAGGCGGUACGUGCUAUGGCGCAAAUGCUUGUCUGUAACGCUUGUAGUCCUUAUCCUGGGGAUAUAUCGCGAGUACCGAACAGGUAAACAUCUUUGAAACAAAAUGUGUGGUAUAAAUGCCUUUCUGAGACGCGUAUGGGAGUGAGGAAGGGGAUGAAUCAAAUCAAUAAAAAAUGAACUAUACAACAGACCUUUUGUUAAGUCUUAAGCCAGAAUCUACCCUCCUAUACCGUGAAUCUACAAACUCAAAAAAAAAAAGCUGGUUGUCUGCUUAUAGCAUACUUUGCUUAUAUAACUUGCGUAAAACCGACACUAUUUUGUAAUUUUGCUAGUACCUCAUUUUGUUUCUUUUUUGUAUAACUAACUUUCGUAGCUAAAAAAGAGGUCAGUGCUUUUUUGAAGUCUACAGCUCAAUUCUUUUCAGACUCUAACUUUCCAGAUACUAGCACUUUGAACAAAUGUAAAUCCCAAAGGACAACUAACAACGAAGCAAUAAAAUAUAACGUCGUGUUUCUAUUCAUUUGCCAACAUCCUUCUAAUUCCCAGCCUGUACUAAAACAGCUGAACCCGAGUCAGCGUCAGCCACUUCGGGAAGAGACAGCCCGCUCAUCUCGCGGGAAUUUCUUCAUUCGCCCGAGGGCAGACCUUGACGUCUUUUCUAUUUCGCACGUCGACUAUUCGCGCAAAUAAAGAUAAGAUGGACCAAAGCAUUAACAAGGUGAAAUAAUUACCGUUAUAAACCAAAUCUAGAGAUCAGAGUUGAGUGCUGGCGUAGAAGUAUCACUCAUUUUUGGUGGUCAUAGUCAAUUGACACAAUAGAAACCUUCAGUCUAUCCCAUUGCGUUAAUCGAUGUCGCGUCAUGUUUAUACCUGCUGAUCCAGGAGUUUGCGCUGCAACUGGAGUUCGAGCUCGCGGGUGACAAGAGAUUACUGAACGUGAACUAAUCAUAUUCCAUGCUAAGAUGCAAGGUACUUAAUUACCUAAGUAUGAAGACGAAUUUUAUCAAUCAAUGCAACCGAAGUACGAAGAUCGGCGUAAAAAAACGC